AUUGAACGCUGGCGGCAGGCCUAACACAUGCAAGUCGAGCGAGCGGCGGACGGGUGAGUAAUGUCUGGGAAACUGCCAGAUGGAGGGGGAUAACGACUGGAAACGGUAGCUCAUACCGCAUAACAUCAGAUGUGCCCAGAUGGGCUUAGCUAGUAGGUGGGGGAAUGGCUCACCUAGGCGACGAUCCCUAGCUGGUCUGAGAGGGUGACCAGCCACACUGGAACUGAAGCACGGUCCAGACUCAUACGGGAGGCGGCAGUGGGGAAUAUUGCACAAGGGGCGCAAGCCUGAGGCAGCCAUGCCGCGUGUGUGAAGAAGGCCUUCGGGUUGUAAAGCACUUUCAGCGGGGAGGCGUUACCCGCAGAAGAAGCACCGGCUAACUCCGUGCCAGCCGCCGCGGUAAUAC
rnacentral:rRNA from 1 species